rnacentral:rRNA from 1 species
CCUACGGGAGGCAGCAGUGAGGAAUAUUGGUCAAUGGACGAGAGUCUGAACCAGCCAAGUAGCGUGAAGGAUGACUGCCCUAUGGGUUGUAAACUUCUUUUAUAUGGGAAUAAAAUGUUCCACGUGUGGGAUUUUGUAUGUACCAUAUGAAUAAGGAUCGGCUAACUCCGUGCCAGCAGCCGCGGUAAUACGGAGGAUCCGAGCGUUAUCCGGAUUUAUUGGGUUUAAAGGGAGCGUAGGUGGAUUGUUAAGUCAGUUGUGAAAGUUUGCGGCUCAACCGUAAAAUUGCAGUUGAAACUGGCAGUCUGGAGUACAGUAGAGGUGGGCGGAAUUCGUGGUGUAGCGGUGAAAUGCUUAGAAAUCACGAAGAACUCCGAUGGCGAAGGCAGCUCACUGGACUGCAACGGACACUGAGGAUCGAAAGUGUGGGUAUCAAACAGGAUUAGAGACCCUAGUAGUC